UUGUUGCAGUUAAAAAGCUCGUAGUUGGACUUUAGGCAAGGCGGCCUGGUCACCCUCUGGGUGUACUGGGAUCGCUGCGCCUCACCUUCGGGGAGCUAGUCGUGCUUCGGUGCGCUAGGGAACCGAGCCUUACCUUGAGGAAAUUAGAGUGUUUAAAGCAGGCUUAUGCUUGAAUACGUUAGCAUGGAAUAACAUGAUAGGACUUUGGUUCUAUUUUGUUGGUUUGAGGUCCAAAGUAAUGAUUAAUAGGGACAGUUGGGGGCAUUAGUAUUCAAUAGUCAGAGGUGAAAUUCUUGGAUUUAUUGAAGACUAACUAAUGCGAAAGCAUUUGCCAAGGAUGUUUUCACUAAUCAAGAACGAAAGUUAGGGGAUCGAAGACGAUUAGAUACCGUCGUAGUCUUAACCAUAAACUAUGCCGACUAGGGAUCGGUGGAAGUCGAUUUUGACUCCAUCGGCACCUUACGAGAAAUCAAAGUUUUUGGGUUCUGGGGGGAGUAUGGUCGCAAGGCUGAAACUUAAAGGAAUUGACGGAAGGGCACCACCAGGAGUGGAGCCUGCGGCUUAAUUUGACUCAACACGGGAAAACUCACCAGGUCCGGACAUGGGAAGGAUUGACAGAUUGAGAGCUC
rnacentral:rRNA from 1 species